CUCAGGCCCGGCGGGCGGCCGGCAGCAGCGCACUGUCAAACUGGUAGGUGAGCUUGCGCUUGACCUUGCGGAUCUCGCCGGUCUUGGCGUAGUUGCGCAGGGCGCGCGCCAGCUUCUGGUAGGUCAUGCGCUUGCGGUUGCCCUUCUGCUGGCCCCAGCGGCGCGCCAGGAGCUCCUUGUGCUUGGAGGAGAACUGGAAGACCCCGGCGCCCGGCUCCACCCACCACACGCAGUGGCGCAUGUCUCCGCGCGUCAGGAGCCCCAGCAGGAACUGAUAUAGGGCUACCCUCUGCUUUGCUGGUGGCCAGCAUGUAGGAAUAUAUAUGUGUCCCCCGUUUGGAGGAGAGAAUCUCUGAAAUGGGCUGACAGCGCUCCUCAAAGGCUUAUAUAAACGGGGCACGCGACUGGUGGCGAAGCGA